rnacentral:rRNA from 1 species
ACGAACGCUGGCGGCAUGCCUAACACAUGCAAGUCGCACGAGACCUUCGGGUCUAGUGGCGCACGGGUGCGUAACGCGUGGGAACCUGCCCUUAGGUUCGGAAUAACUCCCCGAAAGGGGUGCUAAUACCGGAUAAUGUCUUCGGACCAAAGAUUUAUCGCCUUUGGAUGGGCCCGCGUUGGAUUAGCUAGUUGGUAGGGUAAAAGCCUACCAAGGCGACGAUCCAUAGCUGGUCUGAGAGGAUGAUCAGCCACACUGAGACUGAGACACGGCCCAGACUCCUACGGGAGGCAGCAGUGGGGAAUAUUGGACAAUGGGCGAAAGCCUGAUCCAGCAAUGCCGCGUGAGUGAUGAAGGCCUUAGGGUUGUAAAGCUCUUUUACCCGGGAUGAUAAUGACAGUACCGGGAGAAUAAGCUCCGGCUAACUCCGUG